rnacentral:miRNA from 1 species
UUCCCUCAGGAUAGCUGGCGCUCUCGCAACCCCGCAGUUUUAUCCCGGUAAAGCGAAUGAUUAGAGGUCUUGGGGCCGAAACGAUCUCA